rnacentral:rRNA from 1 species
AGUCAAUAGAUACCCGGGUAGUCCACGCCCUAAACGAUGUCAACUGGUUGUUGGGAAGGUUCCUUCUCAGUAAACGUAGCUAAACGCGUGAAAGUUGACCGCCUGGGGAGUACGGCCGCAAGGUUGAAACUCAAAGGGAUUGACGGGGACCCGCACAAGCGGUGGAUGAUGUGGUUUAAUUCGAUGCAACGCGAAAAACCUUACCUACCCUUGACAUGCCUGGAAUCCUGCAGAGAUGUGGGAGUGCUCGAAAGAGAGCCAGGACACAGGUGCUGCACGGCCGUCGUCAGCUCGUGUCGUGAGAUGUUGGGUUAAGUCCCGCAACGAGCGCAACCCUUGUCAUUAGUUGCUACGAAAGGGCACUCUAAUGAGACUGCCGGUGACAAACCGGAGGAAGGUGGGGAUGACGUCAGGUCCUCAUGGCCCUUAUGGGUAGGGCUACACACGUCAUACAAUGGCCGGUACAGAGGGCUGCCAACCCGCGAGGGGAGCCAAUCCCAGAAAACCGGUCGUAGUCCGGAUCGCAGUCUGCAACUCGACUG